AAACCUUAAAACUCUAAUUUUAAAUAUUUCUAGUCGAUGGAACAUUGAGUAGGGGAUCAAUAUUUUCGGUAAGACUGGUACAUCCUGUGUAUGCUCGACAGAGAGGGUAAUUAAUCUCACAAUUACUUGUGUAUGACACUAAUAUAAGGAUGUAAGUGUUCAUUAGAGAAUGAAUUCACUGAAUUGAUCCAAUUAAAGAAUAUCUGAUGGAG
rnacentral:lncRNA from 1 species